rnacentral:rRNA from 1 species
AUAUUGCACAAUGGGGGAAACCCUAAUGCAGCGACGCCGCGUGAAGGAAGAAGUAUUUCGUUAUGUAAACUUCUAUCAGCAGGGAAGAAAAAAGACGGUACCUGACUAAGAAGUCCCGGCUAACUACGUGCCAGCAGCCGCGGUAAUACGUAGGGGGCAAGCGUUAUCCGGAUUUACUGGGUGUAAAGGGAGCGUAGGCGGUGCGCCAAGCUGGGUGUGAAAGGCCGGGGCUCAACCCCGGGACUGCACUCGGAACUGGCGUGCUAGAGUGUUGGAGAGGUAAGCGGAAUUCCUAGUGUAGCGGUGAAAUGCGUAGAUAUUAGGAGGAACACCAGUGGCGAAGGCGGCUUACUGGACAAUAACUGACGCUGAGGCUCGAAAGCGUGGGGAGCAAACAGG